CUCAAAUCCGUACUCUGCAUUAAGCUCUUCGGAUACUGUGAUGCAUCACAGGCGGGAAUUUGUGCAUUCGAGGGUAUGGCGUUUAAAACUUCUCCUACCAGAAAUGACUCAUCACUAUCAUCGUGCUCACCUAAUGUGGAAGAAAUUUAUUGUGCUAUGAGAUACUUAAAGGCCGUGAGAGCAUUAGAUAGCGAUAUGAUUCGUGCAGAAAUCCUUAAAGCUGACCCAGCUUUAGCAGCGCGCUAUUUUGGUCUUCACGAUUUGGUGCUAUGAGAAAUUCUCGAAUGAGUAGAUGACGGGCCUACUGGUAAAAUACCCUAAAAAAGGCGACCUUUCUCUAUGUAAAAACUACAGAGGCAUCACCAAAAUCAGCACCCCAUCCAAAAUUUUGACUAAACUUCUACUCAACAGAAUACAAACACACCACGAACUUUGUUUGUGUAAACAACAAGCCGGUUUCCAUACAAACAUAUCGUGCUCUGAUCAAAUUGUCACGUUUCGUAUUAUUUUGGAGCAAAUUAACAAAUGACAGACAAUCAAAUAUUUACGUCUGCUUCGUUGACUUUAGUACUGCAUUUGAUGGCAUCGACAGAAACUCUAUUUAGAACUCGCUUCGCGCUAGAGGUAUUUCGGAAAAGUUAAUUAACAUCAUCAAGGCGCACUACAGAGAUUUUGAGUGUAAAGUUGCGCACAACAAACAACUCUCGUAUCCGGCAUAUCGUAUCCGUAUCCGUAUCCGUAUGUCGUAUCCGAUAAGUCUGUUGUUGUUACAGUUUUUGUCCCGCAGUAUAACCAUUCCCCAUACAUGUACGGGGAAUGCUGAUGAAGUGACAGUCCUUGGCCGGAUAUAAAUCCGUGACGUUACGGUAACAUAGAACCGUUACUGUUGUGAGAAUGUCUGUCCCAUGUCUCCGUUGCUGUUCCACAUAGAGAAUGGUAUCCCACAUUGCACAAAGAGUAUUUUUUAUCUUGGAAGCAUCGUCUGAAGACAUCGCAAUCCAAUAAAUAAAACUUGCAUUGCUUCUGUACAAUCAAACAAAAUGUGGUCUUCAAAAACCUUAUCAAUCACGGCCAAGCUUCGGAUCUUCAAUAUCCAAUACCUGCAAUAUUUUGGUCCACUUUUCUCAGCGUUUCGAGACUGAUGAAUCUUUUAGUUCGGACUUUGCUCUCCAAAAUGGCCAAAACGAGAAUAGUCCAUCAGUUUUGCGUCUGGUGAAUUUGAGAGCCAUUGUGGGGAGGUUAUGAAGUUCGAAACGUUGUUUUUUAGCCAUUCGUGAUUCACUCGGGAUUUAUGAGACGGAGCUGAGUCCUGUUGAAACGUUCAUGGUCUGCUACCUGUUUGUUUGUUUGCCCACGGCUUCAAGACAACCUCUAGAAUACUUUCUCGAUAAUAUUUCGUAUUUACCUUGACGCCAGGCUCGAUGAAAACGAUUGGAGAGCGCCCACCUGCGGUUACAGCAGCCUAAACUAUUACCUGUGGCGGUUGCUGUCUUCUGGUGGCCAAUCGAUGACUCAAAUUCUCGUAUGAAUGGUCCGUCAAAUAAACAAUAUCGUUUUGGGAGUUUAUAAAUUGCUCAGUUUGAAACAUUUUCUCGUCAGAAAAAACAAUGUUUGGAAAUUGACCGCUUUCGGGCAAGCGAAGCAACUCCUUCGCCCUCUCAAAUCUCACUUGUUGCUGUUUUGGUGUAAGAUCAUGCGCCUAUUGGAUCUUAUAAGGCUUCUUGACUUUGAGAUCAUUUUACAGUACGCGGCGGAUGCUAAGGUCAUAUAUUUUCAGUUCUUUCGCCAUUUGAUUGACACUUCGUCGGAAUUGUGUAGACGUAAAUAUUUUUUUCUUACGAACACGGUUCCUAAUUAUUUACUUACGAAUAAAGUAUGCCAUCUUCAUUUGAAUCCAGCGUUGGUUUUCAUUACUUUACAAGAACAAUAUAAGUCAGUCAUAAGCAUAGGGCUGUACAACUAAUUCCUUUGAGAUCAAAUAAUAUUUUGCCUUACAGGAGGGACGUUUUUCGGCUCGUCUCUUCUUAAUCACUGUAGCGUAUUUCAGGCUUAAAUUCUAGUCAUUAAUGAUGUAGCUAUCUGGUUAGGCAAAAAUGUGGCUACCUUUCGUGAAUUCUAUAUUUAUUUUGAUAGGCAAGCGGCGAUUGAAUCUCUUGGUGGGGUUGUCGCCGGGCAUCUCUUAACGAGAUAGCGGAACAUUUCUGCAUCCGUUUGAUAUGGGCGCUAGGGCAUACAGACCUUAUGAGAGAGGGCAGUCGCCUCCCUUUUAGUGUGGAUGUUCUAGUUAUACACCUUUCAACCCACAAAGUGCGUGGUACAAGUAGCAGUGUCAUUUCAGCCAACACGAGAUGGAUUGGUAGUCUGACAUGUAGUGCUAGAAAAAGAAUUUGGCCGAAAUGCGACGUUUGGUGUUCAAAGACGCUACUCAGUCGGUCAAGGAAAAACGUCUUUCUUUGAUCACAAGCCACUGCCUCCUUGAUCGGAAAGCUAAAAUAUUGAAUGUAUGUACCUCAUUUUGGCUAUUGCAGAAGUUGCAAGAAUGAGGAAGAGGAAGAGUCUGUCAGACAUCUUCUUUGUUACAGUACCUUGUGGCAUGCUAUGUGUCAUAGGCGAGUCUACAGCAUAGAAAUGGUCUGCAAAGUUCAAAAAUAGCAAGCCAUCGACCUCAACGUUUCUUCUGAAUUCGAUGAACUUUUGAUGGAGAACGGACCAGUCGUGAAAUGGGGGGAAAAAGUGGACUGCGAUCAUAAAACGAUUCUCAAUCACCUUCUUUCAAUGGGAUUUACCGAAAAAUUGAGAGCCUGGGUAUCUCACGAACUCAAUGGAAAAAUCACAGAAAGUCGCUUUCAAAUUGCUUCUCAGCAUCUCGCCCACCAUCGAGCAACACGCGGUCAUAAACAGCGCAUUUUAUGCCGAAGAAUCUCAGGAGAUUAGAGAGAUGAGAAAUGGUGCCUAUACAUCAAUAUGAAUCAAAGAAAGGGGUGGGUGCCUCCAGAAGAUACGCCAAAGCCGAGAGUCAAGCCGGAUCUUCAUUCUAAGUAGAUCAUGAUAUGUAUUUGGUGGGACUGGAAGGGCAUGGUGCAUUGGAAAAUGCUUGCUCGAAAAGAAUGCCACGGUCAACAAGGAGCUCUACAUUGCUUAGCUACACCGCGUUAAUGAGGCAAUUCGACUGAAAACACCAGAGCGACAUAGUCAAACCAUACUCUUUCACAACAACGCCAGACCCCAUGUUGCUCAAGUCAUCAAAGUCGCACUCAAAGCAGAACUCGAAUGGGAGGUGCUUCUGCAUCUGCCAUAUUCUUCGGACCUUGUACCGACCAAUUACCAUCUUUUCAGCCCUCUGUCAAAUCAUAUGAAUGAAUGGCGUUACCUUCGAUAACAAAAAGAUCGUUAAAAACUGACUCAACUAGUUAUUUGACACCGGACUAGGCGAUUUUUGGCGGAACAGCAUCUCGCGGAUGAAUUGGUCGAGAGGUGGGAAGAGGUUGUAAACAGCAAUGGCGAAUAUAUGUCGUUGCCACGACAGUCAGUUCUACGUAACCGGAACGACCCGGAUUUAUAUCCGGCCAAGGGCUGUCACUCCAGCAGUAUUCCCCGUAUAUGUAUGAGGAAUGUUUAUGCUGUUACAACAACAACAACAUGUAAUUGAUUAACUUAUUUAUAUAAUUAUUGUUUUUUGUUUAAAUAAAAGUCUUCCCCAACCUAAUAUUUAUCAUAGAAGAUUUAUGAAGUCUAUGCUAAUUCAAAGAUCUUCAAUGUCGACACAGUUUCCGCAAAAAAUUAAGCCUUUAUUUUUCCAUGAAAUGCGCUUAGGAAGAGUAUUAUGUUCUUGCAACAAAUGAGCGGUACGUGCAACACACUGUGCGCGCCACUCAAAUACACGUAUUUAUACAACCGUCAAAAGUGCAGUAACGAUUCUCAUUGCCACCACAGCCCAGAUAUUUGAGACGCUCGCAUGUUUGUGUCCGCUCAUUGAAGUACCACAUUUGACUGGGCCUGCAGCCUCGACCCGUUGUACCGGCAUUCUUUGGUUUCAGACACAGUUGGUUUGCUGAAUAAGAUUUAAAAUGAUUUUAAUACAAACACACAUUUUUAAAUAAAAAAAAAAGCCUCUUACGUGGUCUUCCAGGGCAUGAUGGGUCCUGAGCGGCUGCUAAGGUGGCCAUUAUUACAAAAAUGACCGCGGCAAUCCAAAUAAGUUUCAUUAUUACUGUUCUCGUACGAGUAAUCGACUUGUAAA